rnacentral:rRNA from 1 species
GAGCGAAUGGAUUAAGAGCUUGCUCUUAUGAAGUUAGCGGCGGACGGGUGAGUAACACGUGGGUAACCUGCCCAUAAGACUGGGAUAACUCCGGGAAACCGGGGCUAAUACCGGAUAACAUUUUGCACUGCAUGGUGCGAAAUUGAAAGGCGGCUUCGGCUGUCACUUAUGGAUGGACCCGCGUCGCAUUAGCUAGUUGGUGAGGUAACGGCUCACCAAGGCAACGAUGCGUAGCCGACCUGAGAGGGUGAUCGGCCACACUGGGACUGAGACACGGCCCAGACUCCUACGGGAGGCAGCAGUAGGGAAUCUUCCGCAAUGGACGAAAGUCUGACGGAGCAACGCCGCGUGAGUGAUGAAGGCUUUCGGGUCGUAAAACUCUGUUGUUAGGGAAGAACAAGUGCUAGUUGAAUAAGCUGGCACCUUGACGGUACCUAACCAGAAAGCCACGGCUAACUACGUGCCAGCAGCCGCGGUAAU